rnacentral:lncRNA from 1 species
GGAUAUUUUACUCAUAUAAAUUUGACCAUAUAUUAGAAUAUUUGUAUUUCCAGAUACCAGGUGUGCAUUCUCUAGCAUGUUUUCAGACUUGCCAAUCCCACACUAAGGUACAAGGAUUGAUGUGUGCCCAAGAGAUUGCCUCCUAAAUUGUCGAAAGCAAUAGUAAUUCAACAAGUCUGUGGAUUGCUCCUUAGAAGAAUUGACUAGUCUAUUGAUGGCUGUAGGGCUUUCACAUAACCAUAGAGUCAGAAAUCAGAAACCCAAGCAUAAGCACUCUGAAGAGCUAUGUUAGUUUCCCCUUGCUUUGUUCAAUGACAAGAUGACAAAGGUAAUGAGACAUGCGGGGAGAAACAGUCUGAUAUAAACUGAAGGAAGGAAAAGAGGAAGCAUCAAGAUAGCAUCAAAAAUGAGAUGCAAAACAAUUCCUAUUGAGAGUCACCUCUCCAAUGUCAGGAAAAGUUAUAUAGACAAGGGAUUACAACCUGGCUCCAAAACAAUAUAGAAGUUUGGGAUUCCUCUCUGGAUAGCAAACACAUGAACCAUCAAGGCUGUGCAAUACAGAGUUUGUAAAAAAUAUCUGUAAAGAAUUACCAGGUAUCUAGUGAAUGUGGCCCCAAUUGUGAAGAAUAUAUGGACUCACAAGGGGAUAGUCCAAAUUUUAGUAGUUUUUGUUAAAGAGAGCCCCAAACCCUAUUUCCCUGCAAUUUUCAACCACUAGUAGUGGCAUUUUUUUUUUCUACUGGAUCUGUAGAGUAUUUCUGCUAUUUUCUUUAUAUGCCUACUUUCAGUGUUGUUCUAGAGCCAACUUAUACCCACGUGUAUGAGCCAAUCUUCACAGUGCCAUGUUCAGUGCCUUCACAUAGGCAGUUGGAAAUUAGACAUGAUGAAAGUAUCCACACCAUAGGAACCAGCUACGCAAGUCAGGGCUCUCCCCAAGGAAAGUCAAUUGUUAUACAUUUAUCAGCAUACCACUGACUACAUUUUAAAUAUUUCUUGACAAUGACGGUUUUAAGAAUAACAACCUCAGGAUCACGUGCCCACAUUGAGCUGAGCUCUAUAUUGCAGGACAGCUGACACCUUCAGCCUGUGUUCUCCAGGCUUCUGUGUCAGUGAAUUUCUGGCUUGAUUUGGUCAUUUGCAGACACUGAAGAGAGAUUGGGGUAGCCAAUAGAAGGGAGGCAGAUCUUUCUACCCCCUUGUUUCUGUCUGUGUCCCUUGCAGCGUCUACAUCUCUUCUUUGGUUUCAGCUUCUGACAAUGAGACCUGCCAUGGAGCCAGCUUCUGAAAUAAUCCUAGUCUUCUAGCUGUAGCAUCACCACUCCCUCCCUCUUUUCCCUCUGGUCUAAGGGAGUGGUGGCUCGUGCUAUUGCUAAUGUCAGAAUUGCUAUCUUCUAUUAGGCUUCUAAGCUGGUUCAUCACCUGUGCAAAUUCUGCAUUAAAGUCAUUCUGCUUAAAUAUUCAUGUGGCAUCUGAAUCCCAGUUAGGUCCUGACUAAUAUAGUGCUUGAGUAAUUGGCCAAAGUUCACAUAGCAAUUAGUUAAGCUUGGAUUUCAAGCCUUAUGUUUGACUGUGGAAACUCUGCUAUAUACAGUAGUCUGAUACCACCUUCUAAUCUUGUUCUGGUUUUCAGAUUCUCUAUACAGGCUGACCCCUAUGGCCUACUAAGAAUGAAUAAUUAAAACUCUAGGAAUCCCAGGGUUUGUUGGAGUUCAGGGUUGUCGCUGAGUGGUGGAAAUAUUGUUCUCAACCAAAAAAAAAAAAAAAAAUGUGGGGAUUACAUGCCAGUACCAUCCACCCCUGCAUUAGAAGUUUUCAUCGAAGAGCUUCAUUUCACAAGCUUUCAGCGUUGAUCUCACCUCCUCGAAGAUGACACAUCUGAUCCCUCUGUCUAAACACCUGAAAGCAUUUUCAGAAGAAAUAUUGUGAAGAAAGAAGAAAGAAAGAGAGGGCAGAAAUACGGAAGGAAUGAAGCAAGACAAGAAAGAAAAGCACGGAAUAUGUUAAUAAACAGACAAAAGCCAACAAAUAAAUAAUAAACUAAUAAACCCUUCAAGCAACUCAAUGCAUAUUGGGAAUGAGCACCCUUCCUUAAGGACACGGCAAGGAACACAGACGCUAGGGCCUAGGCUUUGUGGGACUUACUAUCUAAUCCCCUUUCCACUCAAACACUGAUUGUUUGGGGAUUGUGAUCGCUUACUCCUUGAUGAUAAAGACCAUAAGCCUAAAUUACGGAAAAAAUAGGAAACUACAGAGAAAGAAAAUGGAGAAGAAAGUCAUGUCUUAUUUUUUCAUCUGAAUUUAACCAAGGGUCUUUCUAUUUUGCCCUGGCUGGUCUUGAACUCCCGAGCUCAAGCGAUUCUUCUGCCUCAGCCUCCUGAGUAGCUGGGGUUAAUUACAGGUAUGUUCCACUGCACCAGGC